rnacentral:lncRNA from 1 species
CAGGAGAGAAGUCACCGAAGGUUGGACGCCGGUAGAAUCCCUGAGUGGUCACUCCUGACACGAACUUCGGCUGGAGGGGGAUUUUAUACCCAACACCAGUCUUCCUACUUUCGAGUUCGAGUUUCGAACGAUGGAAGUACAGAAAAAUUUUCACAGCCGAAGUUGUUUCCUUGAAUUCUGCACACGACCACCCUCGAAAAUC